UGACACCAGAGGGCGCUGAGGCAGACCUGUGUGUGUUGAGGAAGGAGAGGAGGUAGGGAACGGAGCAGAGUCCAGAGUUCAGAGAGGGGGCAGGACGCCGGUCUUACUGCUUGGUAUCUUGAGGGAGGACUUGGCAAUGUGUAAAUGGAGAUCACAGGGAGCUGCGCAGUAACUCAGGGGAAAGCACCCCAGAAUGUCAUCACCAUCUCUCAAAAGACUGUUGGCUGCCCUCUCCCUUGACUGGAAGAACAUCACUCCCACUUCUACAAAGGAGGCCAGAAUAUUAUAGAAGACACCACACAGCCUGGUCACCUCUCGUUUGAACAGCUGCCAGACGUUAAAGACUCAUUAAUGCAAGGACAAACAGACUCAAAAACCGUUUUUAUCCCACUGCAAUCACUAUUCUCAAUGCUGCUUUGAAAUGAAAGGCACUUGUCGACAAUUCAUGUAAUGACAGAGAAAUGUGUGUAGUAGAAACAUGCAUGUUUGUGUAACUGCCUCUAAGUAUGCUAAGGUAGCUAUGUUGUAUGACUGUUGUAUUUACUAUGGAUUUGAUUUUAUUCUACAUUUUUAUUAUAUUUUAGAGACUGAAUGGAUGCUGCACUGACCAGAGAGCAUUUUAAAUUUCAUUGUACUUGAGAAAAUAACAAUAAUAAAUCUAAUCUAAUCAAUCCA